rnacentral:rRNA from 1 species
AUUGAACGCUGGCGGCAGGCCUAACACAUGCAAGUCGAGCGAGCGGCGGACGGGUGAGUAAUGUAUGGGGAACUGCCUGAUAGAGGGGGAUAACUACUGGAAACGGUGGCUAAUACCGCAUACCAUCGGAUGUACCCAUAUGGGAUUAGCUAGUAGGUGGGGUAAAGGCUCACCUAGGCGACGAUCCCUAGCUGGUCUGAGAGGAUGAUCAGCCACACUGGGACUGAGACACGGUCCAGACUCCUACGGGAGGCAGCAGUGGGGAAUAUUGCACAAUGGGCGCAAGCCUGAUACAGCCAUGCCGCGUGUAUGAAGAAGGCCUUCGGGUUGUAAAGUACUUUCAGCGGGGAGGCGUUACCCGCAGAAGAAGCACCGGCUAACUCCGUGCCAGCCGCCGCGGUAAUAC